AGCCUUCUCUUGUGCCGCCUUCUGGCGAGCCGCUGCGUCAUCGGCAGGGUAAGCGAAUUGUACGCUAUAGUAGAGAUCGGCCUGCUCUU
rnacentral:sRNA from 16 species